UACAGAGGUCUCAAGCGUUGUUCGAAUUUACUGGGCGUAAAGGGCGCGUAGGCGGCCAGCACAAGUCAGUUGUGAAAUCUCCGAGCUUAACUCGGAAAGGUCAACUGAUACUGUGCGGCUAGAGUGCAGAAGGGGCAACUGGAAUUCUUGGUGUAGCGGUGAAAUGCGUAGAUAUCAAGAGGAACACCUGCGGCGAAGGCGGGUUGCUGGGCUGACACUGACGCUGAGGCGCGAAAGCUAGGGGAGCGAACGGG
rnacentral:rRNA from 1 species